rnacentral:snRNA from 1 species
AUUGGGAUCCUUCCCAAAAGAUC